GAAACCGCGGGAAAAAAGGGGCCGCAGCCGACUAUACGGCUUUUAAAGUGUCGCCUCUCGGCUGGAAGGGCCUCCGAUAAAUACGGAACAAAGCCGCACAGAGCUGAAGACAAAAUACCAAGGCUCAAAAGGUCGCCACCUGCGACGUUCUGGUGGCUCGAAGUGUCGAAGUAUCGGUGAUGCACAAGGUUCAUUUGAAAGACGUCUUGCAUUUUUAUUUUGUUACCGUUCUCUAGGUAGUGCCCAUGUGAUCGCGAAGGACAUUUAACUGUGGGUCUACUCACUGCUUUCGCAACACUGUUAGAUAUAAGUGUACCGAAAAAGCUCGCAGCUUUCCAACGGUGCUUGCUAGCUGUAGAAAAUUACGGCUGCUGUGAUUACGUCAGUGAGCAGUACCAUAUAGGGUUUGGAUGAAAUGUUUAGCGCCCGCCUAAAUAUGCAUGGAAGAAUGUAAGUUGGGACAUGUCGGUAAUUCCAUUUUUUUUACCAUUUACCUGACAAAGGAUACAGGGACAGCGUAGUUAGACAGCGCUUCGUCUACGUCUGUCUACACUGUCUCUGUGUCUUUUGUGUACAAAAUGCUGAAACACCCUGGGUGAGCAGUUUGUCAAGACUGAUGAAACCUCACCAUCUUUCGACGUAGUCGUCGUGCCCUUCCACGCACCAUUUCCCGCCUCUAAUUCAGUUUCAGCCGCCCCUCCAAACAAACAAACAAACAAACAAACAAACAAACAAACAAACAAACAAACAAACAAACAAACAAACAAACAUCCCUACAUGCAGUGGCAGAAUACCAAUCAACAGUGGAUUAAUUGCGUCAUGCAUCGGAAAAUGCUUUCCUCGGACAUUUUUCUUCUUUGUCCGAAACAGCUGAUAAUUCUACGAUAUGAGAUGAGGCAAAUAAGGUGGGUGUCGUAGCAGUCAGACCGUAUGACAGUCUGACGGUUUUCCUAAAUAUCUUUAUAGUGUUGUUCCCGCUAUGAGAAAAGGAGUAGCCGUCAUCAUUAUAACGUGACUACGUCUCUUUCUUUUAUUGUCAUUUCAAUAAUGAAAAAAAAGACAGCGGUAGCUCGUAAAUGGACGUGCUGGGUAACAGAACACAUUGUCGAGGAGGGAAAAUUGCCCGUGCUGAAGCGUUGCUCCAGACAUGGCCUCCGAGAUUUCACGCGCACUGGCAACGCACGCAUCGUAAAAAGCCGCGCUACAGAACGCGUACAUUCCUACAAAAAUUGCUAGAGGGAACUCCGGCGCAAUCUUCUACGGGAUGGCUGUUCAUUCAGCCUGAGAAUUAUUUGUACAUAGCCACGGAGGAAGGAAAAACGAAGCAGAGACCACGACAUCACCCUUUGUGAAGCUCAGUGACGCCGGAAGUUUUCGUUGCUCCGUCAUCUUGUCGGGGCAAAAUUCCCCUAUGUUUUUUACCUUUCUCUCCUUGUGCGCAACCACGCCGGACUAGCAGCGAGAGCGUGCGCGUGCCGUAGUGAUUAGUGUUUCUGUAUAUGCUCCCGCAGGGAGCAGAGUUGCGCAUAACGUUUCCGAGGCCGCUCGCAUCGCUAUUCGACGGACGUUAUCACGUGGUAUAAAAUGACGUCAAAUGAUCAACUGCGCCGCUGCGAAGCCAACUUUACGGAAACGGGCCGACUCGUUUCCGUCAGCGCCAUCGAAUUGCAAUCAGCGGACCGCCGAGCGUGCGUAGCAACGAUCGGCUCCGGGUGAUUGCAGGUGCGGUAUUCGACGAUAUUAAGUUAAUGACUUUGGUGAAGUGCUACGAAGCACAUCAUUUUGACACUUGUAUUCCAGUAUGACGGGUUGCAGCGCACCAAACUGCACAGAUCACACGGAAGGUGGCAAAGCAUUUUACGCGGUGCCGUGCGGACGGACGAGACCGGCCGGCUCCGAAAGGGAUCAGCAUAUGCGAGGUCCGUUCGCCUUGUUUACCGAGCGGCUUUGAAUUCCGCCCCCCAAGGCUCCAAGAACCAGCACUCAAACCCUGCUGCCACCAGCCAUUGCUCAUCCAUUCCCUUGUACGGAAUAAAUUUGAUCUAGCAGCUCGUG